CCUCACUCUUGUCAUCAAAGUUCCCCAUCAGUGCUUUCCUGAUAAUGUCUUCCAGACCCAGAUUACUGGCAGGAUCUGCAAAGGAGUGACCCCUAGAACUGACUGCACCUGAGAGAGAAGAGAAAACACAGGGAAAGGUCAGGACAUCUGCAGGUGGAAGUCACAUGAAGCUUAAGCUGGAAAAAUUGAGUGAAAAGGCAAGUCCUGCAUACCCAUGUCAGAGUCACCUCCACCAGAUGAGUUCAGCUUUCGAAAUAUCUCCUGUUUCUUGGAUUUUACCAUUGGUGAAGUGUUCUCAAGUUUGGUGAAAAACGAAGGCAGGUAACUGAUACUGCCUGGAGAGCGAGAGUCAGUCCUGCCAAGACCAACAUGUGUCAAAGAGACAGAACUUGUAAAUGCACAUUUAAAUCUUCCCAAAAGCAGUCAGGCAGAAACCACCAACAGUCAUAUGAACACUGGGGGGGGCUCAAUAAUAACUGAGUUUGCUUAAACAGCAGCAAUCUGACAAAUAAACUUGAAUUAAAAAACCAAACAA